GCUUUAACUAAUGAUGAUUUGAUUCUACACAUAAUUUCUGGUUUAGGACCUGAAUAUAAUUCUGUGGCUACAUACAUAACUGGUCAAAUAGGAGUUGGUAAAAUGGAUGUGAAUGAGGCUUAUGCAAUGUUGUUAAC
rfam:Citrus clementina cultivar Clemenules unplaced genomic scaffold scaffold_7, whole genome shotgun sequence.